CGCUGGACCCAGACACGCUGGACCCAGGUAAUAACACACGCUGGACCCAGGUAAUAACACACGCUGGACCCAGGUAAUAACACACGCUGGACCCAGGUAAUAACACACGCUGGACCCAGGUAAUAACACACGCUGGACCCAGGUAAUAACACACGCUGGACCCAGGUAAUAACACACGCUGGACCCAGGUAAUAACACACGCUGGACCCAGGUAAUAACACACGCUGGACCCAGGUAAUAACACACGCUGGACCCAGGUAAUAACACACGCUGGACCCAGGUAAUAACACACGCUGGACCCAGGUAAUAACACACGCUGGACCCAGGUAAUAACACACGCUGGACCCAGGUAAUAACACACGCUGGACCCAGGUAAUAACACACGCUGGACCCAGGUAAUAACACACUGGACCCAGGUAAUAACACACGCUGGACCCAGGUAAUAACACACGCUGGACCCAGGUAAUAACACACGCUGGACCCAGGUAAUAACACACGCUGGACCCAGACA